CGGGGGGGGCAAGCGUUGUUCGGAAUUACUGGGCGUAAAGGGCUCGUAGGCGGCCAUCUAAGUCAGACGUGAAAUCCCUCGGCUUAACCGGGGAACUGCGUCUGAUACUGGAUGGCUUGAGUUUGGGAGAGGGAUGCGGAAUUCCAGGUGUAGCGGUGAAAUGCGUAGAUAUCUGGAGGAACACCGGUGGCGAAGGCGGCAUCCUGGACCAAUACUGACGCUGAGUGAGCGAGAGCCAGGGGAGCAAACGGGAUUAGAUACCCCGGUAGUCCUGGCCCUAAACGAUGAAUGCUUGGUGUGACGGGUAUCGAUCCCUGUCGUGCCGAAGCUAACGCAUUAAGCAUUCCGCCUGGGGAGUACGGUCGCAAGGCUG
rnacentral:rRNA from 1 species